CUGGUCUGUAAAAUAGAAUCAUAGUGGCCACCACCAGAGAGAAUUGCUGAGGGGAGUAAAUGAGAGCAUGAACGUAGAUUGCAGCACAGCGCCCAUCAUGCGGGAUGCUUUCAAUAACUGAUGUAAAAGAGCUAAUGACACCUGUUGUAAUGAGCUCUCUGCAGGAGUGUCCUAUGAAUCUGACGGAUGUGAAUUCUGGGGGUAACUAUGGAGUUCUAGUGACUACACAGAGACAAAGUAGGUGCAUCUGCCAUGUUUUUUCCUUCCAGGUACUUUUUUUUUUUUUUCUCAGAAAUGUUGUUUGGAGUUGAGCACUUGAUUUCAGGUCUAAAAAUAAUUUGUAUUUUCUCUCUUUAAGAUGAAAAGAUCUAAGCAGAUCAAUGCCCUGAACUAGAUAACCUUCUCCAAAUUUUAUAUAAUGUAGCAUGCUGUGUGGGUAGCUCUCUUUGCUGUUAGCUGGAAUCUGUUCUGGCAAUGGAUAUGUAUGCUCAUUUUAAUAUUAGGCAAAGGCCAAUGGUAUAUCCCACUGAGAAAGUAAACAUAAAAGAAAUGAUGCUACACACACACACACACACACACACACACACACACACACAUAUAUAUAUAUUUUUUUUGAGACGGAGUGUCGCACUAUCAAUCACCUGGGCUUGGGGUGCAGUGGCAGGAUCUCGGCUCAUUGCAACCUCCACCUCCCAGGUUCAAGCAAUUCUCCUGCCUCAGCCUCCCAAGUAGCUGGAAUUACAGGCACCUGCCACCACGCCCAGCUAAUUUUUUUGUAUUUUUAAUAGAGACGGGGUUUCACCAUGUUGGCCAGGCUGGUCUCGAACUCCUGACCUCAUGAUUCGCCCACCUUGGCCUCCCAAAGUGCUGGGAUUACAGGCGUGAGCCACCAUGCCUGGCCAAAAUGAUGCUAUGCUAUAAAACUAAAU
rnacentral:lncRNA from 10 species